rnacentral:rRNA from 1 species
UACGUAGGGGGCAAGCGUUAUCCGGAUUUACUGGGUGUAAAGGGAGCGUAGGCGGCUUAGUAAGUCAGAAGUGAAAGCCCGCAGCUCAACUGCGGGACUGCUUUUGAAACUGCCAGGCUAGAGUGUCGGAGAGGUAAGUGGAAUUCCUAGUGUAGCGGUGAAAUGCGUAGAUAUUAGGAGGAACACCGGUGGCGAAGGCGGCUUGCUGGGCCUGUACUGACAUUGAGGCACGAAAGCGUGGGGAGCAAACAGG